GUAAAAAGAACGCUACGAACUGAAUAUUGCAUAGACAAAAGAAGAUGAUCCUACAUUCUGAAAACUGCUGCUCAUUUGCAAAACUUUGCUGAUCAUAGUCAGGUCAACUGGCAUCAAAUAGUUUGCAACUUUUCAUCAGCAGACAUUUUCUACCAUGAAAAUCCAAUAACUAAAAAUUUUCACGCUGCAAAUGAUGGUUGUUUAUCUACUGUUUUACAUUUAAUUUCCCUUCCUUAAUAAUAACACAACAUACCAAAUGCAAGCGUCAAAUAAUUUCAAGUUUAAGAUCUGGAUA
rnacentral:misc_RNA from 1 species